GCGCAUACGAGGCGGUCAUGCCGGAUGAGAAGGCCAAUAUCUUCAAAGUCCGAUACUUGCACGGAAGGCAUGGACGUAGAUGCGGCGGGCAUAAGCGGGAAGGUGGGUGC
rfam:Nitrospina sp. SCGC_AAA799_A02 AAA799A02_57, whole genome shotgun sequence.